rnacentral:rRNA from 1 species
AUGCUGCUGGAGGACUUCGGGCAGCGGGUGGACCUGACGCGCCGCAUCCGCGAGGUGCUGGCCAACUACCCGGAGGGCACCACCGCGCUGCGGGAGCUCAUCCAGAACGCCGACGACGCCGGGGCCUCGCGGGUCCGCCUCUGCCUCGACCGCCGCGCCCACGGGGCCCGCUCGCUGCUCGCCCCGGCCCUGGCCCAGUGGCAGGGCCCCGCCCUGCUCGCCCACAACGACGCCGCCUUCACCGACGACGACUUCGCUAGCAUCUCCCGCAUCGGCGGCAGCAAGAAGGCCUCCCAGGCCUGGAAGACCGGCCGCUUCGGCAUUGGUUUCAACUCGGUGUACCACUUGACCGACUUGCCAUCGUUCGUGAGCGGCAAGUAUGUUGUCAUGUUUGAUCCUCAGGGCGCUUACCUUCCCAAUGUGUCGGCGGCAAAUCCUGGGAAGCGCAUAGACUAUGUCAGUUCUACCGCACUUACAUUGUACAGUGACCAGCUCUUGCCCUAUCGUGCAUUUGGCUGCGACAUGAAAGCGCCAUUUCAAGGAACCUUGUUCCGUUUCCCUUUGAGGAAUGCUGAGCAAGCAUCCUCUAGCCGGUUAUCAAGACAAGUGUACACGGAGGAUGAUAUCUUAUCUCUUUUCGCUCAACUGUACGAAGAAGCUGUAUACAACUUGCUUUUUCUUAAAAAUGUCCUCGCACUUGAAAUGUAUGUGUGGGAACCUGAUAUGGCAGACCCAAAAAUAGUAUACUCUUGCGCCUUACGAUCACAGGAUGACAAAUUGUCAUGGCAUCGCCAAGCUCUAAUCAGGUUCUCUGGCACUUCUGCUGAAUCUGUUGAGCAGAAGAUAGAUUCCUUUUCCAUGGAUUUUGUAUCGGAGGCAUUCCUGGGGAACAAGUUUGAGAAAAAGAGCCAUACCUAUUUUAUUGUACAGGGAAUGGCAUCUGCAUUAAGUAAAAUAGGUAUGUUUGCAACUGGUGCUGCCAAGGAAUAUGAUCUUCACCUAUUGCCUUGGGCUUCUGUUGCUGCUUGCAUCUCCAAAGUGGAGCCUGAGGAUAUUAAUCUCAGACAAGGUCAUGCAUUCUGUUUUCUUCCUUUGCCAGUAAGGACUGGACUAUCUGUGCAUGUGAAUGGUUAUUUUGAAGUUUCGUCCAAUCGACGUGACAUUUGGUAUGGAGCUGACAUGGACAGGGGUGGUAAGCUCCGUUCUGAUUGGAACAGGCUACUGCUGGAAGAUGCUGUUGCUCCAUUGUUCAGAGAACUGUUGCUGGCGUUGCGGACACUUACAGACUCCACAAUACUGUAUUAUUCUUUAUGGCCAACUGGUUUAUAUGAGGAACCCUGGAGCAUUCUUGUGGAACAAAUUUACAGAGUUAUCUGUACCUCUCCAGUUUUGCAUUCAGAGAUCAAAGGUGGGACAUGGGUAUCACCGGCUAAGGCUUUGCUUCAUGACGAGGGCUUUUCAAGAAGUAAUGAUCUUAGUGAAGCUCUUGUGUUGUUAGGCAUGCCUGUUGUUCGUGUACCAAGUGCAAUUGUUGAUAUGUUUUCAAAAUUCUAUAUGAAGUCAAAGAUAAAACGGGUUGCUCCUGCUGCAGUGAGACAUUUUCUCCAAGAUUUUGUAAAGCUUGGUACAUUAGGAAAAUCUCAUAAGCUAAUAUUACUGGAAUAUUGCCUUAGUGAUCUGGACAGUGCUGAUAUUGGUAAAUGCAUGAAUGGCCUCCCACUGAUUCCACUAGCAAAUAAGCAGUAUGGGAUUUUUUCUGAGAUUUUACAAGAGAGCACCUACUAUGUCUGCGAUAAGACAGAAUAUGACCUCCUUUCUGCAGUUGGUGACAGAAUAAUUGACCGAAGCAUCCCCCCUGUACUACUAGACAAGCUGUAUCAGAUAGCCAAUAACUCUCAGGUGAAUAUUUCACCCAUUGAUGGUCCAAUCUUUCUUCAGUUCUUCCCCAGGCUAUUUCCCCCUGGAUGGAAGUGUAAAAACCAAGUUCCUUGGGAUCCAUCAUCAGGUGUGUCAUCUCCUACGGCAGAUUGGUUUAAACUUUUUUGGCACUAUAUUGGGGAACGUUCUUAUGACCUUGAUUUGUUUGGUGACUGGCCUAUACUGCCUUGUACUUCUGGACACCUUUACAGAGCAUCUACAGCAUCAAAGUUGAUUGAAACAGAGUCACUAUCUAGUUUGAUGAAGGAACUAUUGGCCAAGUUAGGUUGCAAGAUAUUAGACACCAAGUAUUUAAGUGUGUAUCAACAGCUUUCUCAUUAUGUAUAUGAUGGUGAUGCAACUGGAGUUCUUAAUUCAAUCUUUGGGAUUGCCUCGCUGGAGGGAGUCGAUGUGCAUGCACUGUUUCAACGCAUCAAGCCUGGUGAGAAAAUUGAACUAUACCAGUUUCUUCUAGAUCCGAAAUGGUACAUAGGAGUCUGCCUUUCUGACAUGAACAUAAAGCUAUGCAAAAAGUUGCCCAUCUUCAGAGUAUUUGAUGGAGGAUCUCACAGUUCUUAUGGCUUCUCGGAUUUGUCCGGUUCAAAAAAGUAUCUGCCACCUCUUGGUGUUCCUGAGCACCUACUCAAGUCUGAUUUUGUUUUCUGUAUAUCCCCAAGCAACGAAGAUAUCAUAGUGAGGUAUUAUGGUGUUGAACGUAUGCCAAAAUCAGUCUUCUACCAGAGGUAUGUUUUGAACAAGUUAGAUGAGUUGCAAGCAGAGGUUCGUGAUUCAGUUAUACUAGCCAUCUUGCAAGAUCUGCCCCAGCUGUCCUUGGAAGAUCCAAGGUUCAAGGAAGGCUUGAAAGUCCUUAGGUUCGUGCCAACCAUUAAUGGGACCUUGAAAAGUCCUCAGUCUCUUUAUGAUCCUCGAGUGGAAGAACUCUAUGAUCUUCUCCAGGAAUCAGACUGCUUCCCCAAUGGCUUAUUUCAAAACCCAGACGUUCUUGAUAUGUUACUCUGCUUGGGGCUGAGAACUUCUGUUUCUACUGAUACUAUAAUAGAAAGUGCUCGGCAAAUUGAUUCAUUCGUGCGCAAGGAUCAAGAGAAGGCUCAUUCAAGGGGUAAAUUGCUUCUUUCAUAUCUUGAAAUUCAUGCUCACAAAUGGCAUGUAAAUAAGGCAUUUGAUGCCCGGAAGAAGGUGAAUAAUAUGUUUGCGAAAGUCACUACUGCAUUGAGGCCUCGUGAUACGUCUUGGGAAUUUGAUCUCGGGAAGUUCUGGAGUGAUUUGAGAAUGAUUUGUUGGUGUCCUGUGUUGGUCACUGCACCAAGCCCAGCCCUGCCGUGGCCUUCAGUUUCAUCGAUGGUCGCUCCACCUAAGCAAGUAAGGCUGCAGGAAGAUAUGUGGAUUGUUUCUGCUAGCUCACGUAUACUUGAUGGCGAAUGUACUUCCUCAGCUUUGUCUUAUAGCUUAGGUUGGUCAUCUCCUCCUUCUGGAAGUGUAAUCGCUGCUCAGUUGCUUGAGCUGGGUAAGAACAAUGAAAUUGUGACUGAUCAAGUCCUUCGGCAAGAGUUAGCUUUGGUGAUGCCUAAGAUUUAUUCGUUACUGACUAAUUUGAUUGGUUCUGAUGAAAUGGAUAUUGUCAAAGUGGUUCUAGAGGGCUGCAGAUGGAUUUGGGUGGGCGAUGGAUUUGCAAAAGUUGAUGAAGUUGUUCUAAGUGGCCACCUUCACCUUGCGCCUUACAUUCGUGUCAUUCCAAUUGAUUUAGCAGUUUUCAAGGACUUGUUCUUGGAUCUUGGCAUAAAGGAGCACCUCGACCCUGUGGAUUACGCUAGUAUUCUGACCAGAAUGGCCAUGAGGAAAGCCACGGCUUCGCUUGAAGCUGAAGAACUAAGGACAGCUGUGUUAUUGGUGCAGCAUCUAGCUGAGUUCCGGUUUCAGGAUCAGCAAACACAGAUAUAUUUACCUGAUUCUUCAGCUAGGCUCUGCCUAUCUUCGGAACUUGUAUUUAAUGAUGCUCCUUGGCUUCUUGACUCUGGUCAAGACAUCUUUGGUGAUGCAUCCAGCAUUGCUUUCAGCCCAAAGAAGUAUGUUCACAAUUUUGUGCAUGGUAAUAUUUCCAACGACGUGGCAGAAAGGCUAGGUGUUCGCUCCCUUCGCCGUCUCUUGCUUGCUGAGAGUUCCGAUUCGAUGAAUUUGAGUUUAUCAGGGGUUGCUGAGGCUUUUGGACAACAUGAAGAUUUGACUACAAGGCUCAAGCAUAUUGUUGAGAUGUAUGCAGAUGGUCCUGGGAUUCUCUUUGAGUUGGUACAGAAUGCAGAAGAUGCUAAAGCUUCUGAGGUUGUAUUUCUUUUGGAUAAGACCCGGUAUGGUACUUCAUCCAUCCUUUCACCUGAAAUGGCUGAAUGGCAGGGGCCUGCUCUCUACUGCUUUAAUGAUUCAGUUUUUAGUCCACAAGAUCUUUAUUCCAUCUCACGAAUUGGUCAAGACAGCAAACUUGAGAAACCUUUUGCAAUAGGAAGGUUUGGUCUUGGCUUCAAUUGUGUCUAUCACUUCACAGACAUGCCUGGAUUUGUUUCUGGUGAGAAUAUUGUCAUGUUUGAUCCACAUGCCCGUUAUUUACCAGGAAUAUCUCCUUCUCAUCCAGGUUUAAGGAUAAAGUUUGUAGGACGGAAGAUCUUAGAACAGUUCCCUGAUCAGUUCACACCAUUCUUACACUUUGGUUGCAACCUGCAACAGCCAUUUCCAGGUACACUUUUCCGGUUUCCUCUUAGGAAUGAGGCUGCUGCUUCUAGAAGUCAAAUAAAGCGCGAACAAUAUGCAACCCAAGAUGUGGAGAUGCUUUUCUCUUCAUUCUCUGAAGUUGUAUCCGAGGCUCUACUUUUUCUCCGCAACGUUAAAAAGAUAACUCUGUAUGUCAAGGAGCAUGACUCCCAGGAGAUGCAACUUGUUCAUCGUGCUUUGAAGCAGAACAGUUCUGAGCUCUCCAAAGAACCACAUGCACUUAAUACGAUGCUUGCAUUUGUACAUGGAAAUCAAUCAUCAGGAACGGAUAGGAAUACUUUUUUCAAUAGGUUGAAUAAGACAAAAGACAGUGAUUUACCCUGGAGUUGUCAAAAAGUUGCUAUUCUUGAGCAAAGCCCUACUGUCCACUUGGUGCAUUCAUGGAUCUUAACCGAGUGUAUAGGCGGGGGUCAUGCUAGAAAGUUGUCAACUGCUUCUGAUAGUAAAUCUCAUUUCUUUGUUCCCUGGGCAUCAGUAGCUGCAUAUCUGCAUUCUGCGUGUGUGGACGAUACCAAAGAACUGUCUGGUGAAGCUGAAGUUAACCGUGAUGAUUCUGUUCCUAAGCAUCUAGCUCUCCAAUCUUCUGAGAGCAGGAAUUUGUUUGAGGGUCGGGCCUUUUGUUUUCUUCCUUUACCAAUCAACACUAGCAUACCAGUGCACGUAAAUGCUUAUUUUGAACUAUCUUCAAAUCGGAGGGAUAUCUGGAUUGGAAAUGACAUGGCUGGGGGAGGAAGAGUGCGAUCAGAAUGGAAUCUUGCACUGCUUGAAGAUGUGGCUGCUCCUGCUUAUGGCCACCUCCUUGCAGCCAUGGCAGAAGAACUUGGUCCCUCUGAUCUGUUUCUCUCAUUUUGGCCUACUGCUGUUGGUGCAGAGCCAUGGUCUUCCAUGGUGAGGAAGCUUUAUGUAUCAAUCGCGGAACUUGGACUUAAUGUUUUGUAUACGAAAGCUCGAGGUGGCCAUUGGGUGUCAACAAGGCAAGCUAUUUUUCCCGAUUUCAGUUUCUCAAAGGUAACCGAGCUGGCAGAAGUUCUCUCGCAAGCUGGUUUACCUUUGGUAUCUGUAUCCAAGCUGAUAGUAGACAGUUUCAUAAAUGCAUAUCCAUCAGUUCAUCUCCUGAAUCCUCAUUUGCUAAGGAAUUUGUUGAUCCGACGGAAGCGUGGGUUCAGAAGCAGAGAAGAGGCCAUACUUGUUCUGGAGUAUUGCUUGAGUGAUAUGGAUGAUCCUUCCCUUUCUGAUAAAUUGCACGGAUUGGCUCUUCUUCCUUUGGCAAAUGGAUCAUUCACAACAUUCAAUAACCGAGGGGAGGGUGAAAGAGUAUUCUUUGCUUCAGAAAUGGAAUUUGACUUUCUUAAGGAUUCAGUACCACAUCUUGUUAUUGAUAACUCUUUACCAGAUAGCGUUUUGAAGAAGUUGUUUGACAUAGCUUCUUCUGCACGGUCAAACAUGUACUUAUUUACGUGCAAUUUCCUUCUUGAGCUGUUGCCCAGGAUUUUGCCGCCUGAAUGGCAGCAUGCUAAGCAGUUAUCUUGGUUUCCUGAACAGGAAGGCCAGCCAAGCGUGGAAUGGAUGAUAUCACUUUGGAAUUUCUUGCGUCAUUCAUGUGAAGAUCUUUCAAUAUUUGCAAAAUGGCCUAUACUACCACUUGUAGAUGGCAAGCUUAUGCAACUUGGCAGUGCUUCAAAUGUAAUAAGAGAUGAUGGUUGGAGUGAAAAUAUGCACUCAUUGCUUCAGAAACUGGGCUGUUUCUUUCUGAGACCUGAUCUGCAGAUAGAGCAUCCCCAGUUAGCUAAUUUUGUUCAGGAAUCCACUGCAGCUGGUGUUCUGAAUGCGGUGCAUUCUGUUGCUUCUAAUGUCCAGGAUAUUAAGGAACUUUUUGAGAGUACUUCAUUGGCAGAAACACAUGAGCUCCGCAGUUAUAUUUUCCAGUCAAAGUGGUUUUCAGGGAAUCAGAUAAACAUUUCACAUAUGAAUACAAUCAGGAACCUCCCCAUAUUUGAAUCUUAUAAAUCUAGGGAGCUUGUUAGUUUGGCAAACCCUAGAAAAUGGCUUAAACCCGACGGUGUACAUGAGGAUCUGUUGAAUGGAAGCUUUAUAAGAACUGAAUCUGAAAAGGAAAAGUCGAUUUUAGUAUCAUACUUUGAUAUCAGGGAACCUGAAAAGGCUGAAUUUUACAAGGAUCAUGUGCUUCCUCGGAUGUCAGAGUUUCUGUCACAGCCAGCUAUUGUUUCAGCAAUUCUUCGUGAUGUGAAGCUGUUGAUAGAAGGCAAUAGUUCUGUGAGAGCUGCGUUGUCUGAAACCCCUUUUGUCUUAGCAGCUAGUGGAGCAUGGCUACAUCCUUCCAGGCUUUAUGAUCCUCGUGUGCCAGAGUUUCGUAAGUUACUGCACAAAGAAACCUUCUUUCCUUCGGAAAAGUUCAUGGCAACUGAAAUAAUUGAACUGUUGGCAAGUUUUGGACUGAAAAGAAAAAUGGGUUUUGGUGCUUUGCUUGACAUUGCAAGGUCAGUUUCACUGGUGCACAAUUCGGGACAAGGUGAUGAUGCAUGUGCGCAUGGGCAAAUACUACUUACCUGUCUAAAUGUUCUUGAAUCGAAGAUGUCAAACAUGGAGGACAAGGACACUUUCCAUGAGGAUGUCGAUCUCGAAGCUUCUAAAACUGAUGGAAAUUUGGAAGCAGUAAAUGAAGUGGAUAGUUGUGACCCAGACCCAACUAUUAUGUCUUUGUUCUCAAACUUUGAUCUUGACCUACCAGAGCAUGAGUUUUGGUCAGAGCUGAAAAAUAUUUCUUGGUGUCCUGUCCAUGUUGCACCACUUAUGAAAGGUCUUCCAUGGCUUGAAUCAGAAGAUCAUGUAGCACCUCCAGUCGUAACAAGGCCGAGAUCACAAAUGUGGCUUGCUUCAUCAAAAAUGCGGAUACUGAAUUCUGAUUCUUGUUCCAUGUAUCUGCAAAGAAAACUCGGUUGGUUAGACCCACCAAAUGUGAAUGUUUUAUUGUCCCAGUUAGUUGAGCUUUCCAAGUCUUAUGAUGAACUCAAGAUGUUUUCUGAAGACACAUCCAUCGACGCUGUCCUACAAAAGGAGAUCAAACUAAUCUACUCGAAAUUGCAAGAUAUUGUUGACAGUGGCGAUGCCCACAUUCUGAAAGAGAAUCUGGAUGGGAUUUCAUGGGUCUAUAUAGGGGACAGGUUUGUGCCUCCACAUGCACUUGCAUUUGAAUCACCUGUAAAGUAUCAUCCUUAUCUUUAUGCAGUUCCGUCUGAACUGUCAGAAUUUAAAAAGUUACUCUUCAAGUUGGGUGUGAGGCAGACAUUUGAUGCAACAGAUUAUCUCAAUGUACUUAGUCGCUUACAAGGUGACGCCAAAGGAGAGCAAUUGUCUGCAGAACAACUGAGUUUUGUUCAUUGUGUUUUGGAAGCAUUUGUGGAUUGUUAUCCUGACAGUCAAGCAGCUGAUGCUUUACUGAAUUCGUUGGUUAUUCCAGAUUCAUUUGGUGUCCUGACACCUUCGAGAAACCUUGUCUAUAAUGAUGCACCCUGGAUGAAUACUGAUCCCACUUCAAAGCAUUUUGUGCAUCAUAGUAUUGGUAAUGAUCUGGCCAAUAGACUAGGGGUACGAUCUCUUCGCGGAUCUUCGUUAUUGGAUGAUGAGCUAAUGAGGGAUUUGCCAUGCAUGGAAUAUGCUAAGAUAAGUGAGUUGCUAGCUCUGUAUGGUGAGAGUGACUUCCUUCUGUUUGAUCUCAUAGAGCUAGCUGACUCUUGCAAUGCAAAGAAAGUGCACCUGAUCUAUGAUAAAAGAGAUCAUCCGAAGCAGUCUUUAUUGCAGCAAAAUCUAGGUGACCUACAGGGUUCUUCAUUGACAGUGGUCUUUGAAGGAACCAUGAUAAGCCGAGAAGAAGUUUGCAGCCUCCAACUUCCUCCUCCUUGGAAACUAAGGGGAAACAUCCUUAACUACGGGUUGGGACUUGUUAGCAGCUAUUUUGUAUGUGAUGCCUUGACUAUUCUUUCUGCUGGCUAUUUCUACGUUUUUGAUCCAUUGGGCUUGACUGGUGGUGCAACUUCGACUGCAACCUCGUCUGCCAGAUUCUUCUCUUUGAUAGGAAAUGACUUGGUUGAGAGAUUUCGUGAUCAGUUCCUCCCAAUGCGUGUUACACAGGAGGCUUCAUUGUCUUCUGCAAACUCUACGGUUAUUCGGAUGCCGUUAUCUUCAAAAUGUCUGAAAGAACUUGAAGCAGGUUGCGACAGAGUAAAGCAGAUUUUUGAUAGAUUUACACAGAAUCCAUCCAGUACUCUCCUGUCUCUGAAGUCAGUCAUUCAGGUAUCUUUAUCAACAUGGGAGGAUGGAGCCUCUCAGCCAACCCUGAACUAUUCCGUGCUUGUUGAUCCAUCAGUAGCUACUUUGAGGAACCCAUUUUCAGAAAAGAAAUGGAGAAAGUUCCAAAUAUCCAGAAUAUUUGCAAGUACAAGUGCAGCAAUCAAAAUGCAAGCUAUAGAUGUGCAUGUGAUUGAGAGUGGCUGCAGUUAUAUUGACAAAUGGUUUGUUGCCCUCUGCCUUGGGUCAGGGCAAACAAGGAAUAUGGCUCUUGACAGACGGUAUCUUCCCUACAACUUAACCCCUGUUGCUGGAGUAGCAGCUCACAUAGCUCGAAAUGGAGUACCAACCAAUAUAAAUGCAUCCAGUUGUAUAUUAUCUCCUUUACCGCUAUCUGGGUCAAUAAGCAUGCCAGUCACGACUCUAGGUCAUUUCCUUGUGAGGCAUGAUGGUGGACGCUAUAUUUUUGGCAGCACACAUGAUAAAUCUUUACGGGAAAUGGACAGAAACAAAUUGGUUGAAGCAUGGAAUGAGGAACUUAUGCUAUGUGUGCGUGAUUCAUAUGUUGAGAUGGUCCUAGAAUUCCAAAAGCUUAGGAAAGACCCUCUAUCUUCUGCUAUUGAAUCACGGUGUGCACACUCUGUGAGUAUUAUUUUACAGGCUUAUGGUGACAGGGUAUACUCUUUUUGGCCAAGAUCAAAACAACCUACAGCUUCACUCACUGGGCAAGGUUCUACCGUAGACAAUUUAAAUUCACCAAGAACAUCUAAAGCAGAUUGGCAGUCCUUGAUAGAGCAAGUGAUAAGACCAUUCUAUUUACGGUUGGCUGAUCUUCCCGUUUGGCAACUUUACCGGGGAAAUCUUGUUAAAGUGGGUGAGGGUAUGUUCUUAUCCCACUCAGGGAGCGGAGAUGAUGAUAACCUACCAUCUGCUACUGUCUGUAGUUUCAUUAAAGAGCACUAUCCUGUUUUUUCUGUUCCAUGGGAGUUGGUUAGUGAAAUCCAAGCAGUUGGAGUUACCGUAAGAGAGAUCAGGCCCAAGAUGGUUAGAAAUCUACUAAAAGAGUCUUCAUCCGUUUUACUUCGAUCUGUUGAAACAUAUAUAGAUGUUCUUGAAUAUUGCUUCUCCGAUAUGGACCCAUACCGGUUUACAGAUCUACAUAUACCUGAUCAAUCACAACUUAACAGUCAACUUGUUCACCCAGUGAAUGCUUCCACAUCACAAUUUAUACCAUCUUCAAGCAGUUCUUCAUCUUACCAUACAAGUACACAGAGGCCGGGUACUUCUGGGGGCGACGCACUUGAAAUUAUGACAUACUUCGGGAAGGCCCUAUAUGACUUCGGUCGGGGGGUUGUUGAGGAUAUCAGCAAGACCAGUGGCCCAGCAUCCCAUAGGGCCCAAGCUGCUGAGAGUAAUGUGCUGUCAUCUAUCAUAUCUGAACUCAAAGGUGUACCAUUUCCGACGUCAAAAAAAUGUCUAACAAGGCUGGGAGCUACCGAACUUUGGAUUGCCAAUGAGGAGCAGCAAAUAUUGAUGCGCCCCUUGUUAGAUCGCUUUAUCCAUCAUCAGUGUUUAGAAAAGCCUUUCUUGGCACUGCUGCUCUCCACUCAGGUUAUUCAUGUGCCUCUGAAAUUGAGGAGUUUUUCUCCUCACUUAUUAUCAGGCCAUUUGAAGCACAUAUUUGAUGAGCGUUGGGUACGUGCAGUUGAGAGGAAGCCACAAUGGAUUCCUUGGGACAGUAGUUCUAAUUCAUCAACCACUGGGCCAACUCCCAAAUGGAUUAGAAGCUUCUGGAAAAUAUUUAGCUCCUUGAAUGGUGACGUUUCACUUGUGUCUGAUUGGCCCUUGAUUCCUGCUUUUCUGAACAGGCCAAUUCUCUGCUGUGUGAAAGAACGCCAUCUAAUAUUCGUGCCUCCAGUGGAUGAUUCAAACACUCAGAUGGUACAUGUUAGUGCAGUUGUUGAUGAUGUAGCUAGAGAGGUUGAUACAACUGGUCUAAACGGAGAUGACACUGGUGAAGCUGAACAGAAGAGUGCACUUGAUACUGCAUUCGAGUCAAUGAACUCAAAGUUUCCGUGGUUAUCUGCUCUGCUUAAUCAGUUGAACAUACCAAUUCUUGAUUUGUCUUUCCCAGAGUGUGGUGUCAUAUGCAAUUUGUUUCCUUCACGUGAUCGAACUCUUGGACAGACGAUUGCUUCUAAGUUAGUUUCAAUAAAAAAUGAUGCUCAUUUACCUUCAACACUUAGUCUAUCAAGUGAAGAUUGUGAUAGACUGUUCAUGCUAUUUGUCUCAGACUUCAGAUUAUCUAGCAGACACCUUUAUCAGAGAGAAGAACUGGACGUCUUGAGAGAGCUUCCGAUGUAUAAAACAGUUACAGGAGCAUACACUAGUCUGUCAGGGUCUGAUCAUUGCAUUAUUUCUCCCACAGCAUUCUUUCACCCCAGUGAUUCCCGGUGUUUUUCUAGCUCAGAUAAUGCAAAUUUGUUUCUUCAGGCUUUGGGGGUUGAACAAUUAAAUGAUCAAGAAAUAUUAGUGAGGUUUGCUUUGCCUGGCUUUGGGAACAAAACAGUUCAAGAGCAGGAAGACAUUUUAGCUUACUUGUAUGCUAACUGGAAAGAUCUGCAACUUAAUUCAGCUGUAGUAAAUACCUUGAGGGAGACUAAUUUUGUGACAAAUGCAAAUGAGUUUUGUACAGAGCUGUUCAAACCAAACGAACUACUUGACCCUUCAGAUGCUUUGCUGGCUUCAGUAUUUUCUGGGGAGAGAAAUAAGUUCCCUGGCGAGAGGUUCAUGUCAGAUGGUUGGCUUGGUAUACUCAGAAAAGUGGGUCUUCGGAUAUCUACAGAGGCUGAUAUGAUAGUACAGUGUGCUACGAAAAUAGAAACAAUGGGAAAUGAUGUGAUGUCAUCUUCAGAGAAACAUGAUGACUUUGAUGCAGACUUGUCAGACAGAAAAAAUGAAAUUCCUUUUGAGUUAUGGUCAUUGGCAGAAUCUGUUGUAAAUGUGAUUUUGGCAAAUUUUGCUACUUUGUACGAUAGCAGUUUUUGCCAAAAGAUCGGAAAAAUUGUAUUUGUACCUGCAGAAAAGGGCUUUCCAAGUAUUGGUGGCAAGAAAGGGGGUAGAAGGGUAUUUGCAUCUUAUAGUGAAGCUAUCUUAUUAAAGGACUGGCCAUUGGCAUGGAGUUCUGCUCCAAUUCUUGCCAAACAAUCAAUUAUUCCACCUGAUUUUUCUUGGGGAGCAUUUCAGCUUCGGAGUCCUCCUGCCUUCUCUACAGUUCUAAAGCACUUGCAGACUGUUGGGAGAGGCAAUGGUGAGGACACACUGGCACACUGGCCAUCUUCAUCAGGCAUAAUGACAGUAGAGGAUGCCUUUCUCAGGAUCUUGCGGUACUUGGAGAAAGUAUGGGGAACAAUAUCGUCUUCAGGAAAAACAGAAUUGAUGGAACUGGCAUUUAUACCAGUUGCAAAUGGUACUCGCUUAAUAGAAGCGAAAUCACUUUUUGCUCGCCUGACCAUCAACAUGUCACCUUUUGCUUUUGAACUUCCAAGUCCGUAUCUUCCAUUUGUUGCCAUUCUUAGAGAAAUUGGGAUGCAGGAAAGCCUUACAAACUCUUAUGCAAAGGAGCUUCUUUUAGAUAUCCAAAAAGCAUGUGGUUACCAACGCCUGAACCCAAACGAACUCCGCGCAGUGAUGGAAAUCUUGGACUACAUGUGUUCAGGAGUCAGCCAGCCUAUCUCAGACGGAUCAGAAGGGCUGUUUGAUUCUGUAAUACCAGAUGAUGGCUGCAGGCUUGUCUCAGCUACAUCAUGUGUGUAUAUUGACCCAUAUGGUUCUCAUUUGCUGAGUAAUAUAAAUACAUCCAGGAUAAGAUUUGCUCACCCAGAUCUUCCUCAGAACAUUUGCAAGGCCUUGGGAAUAAAAAGACUCUCUGAUGUCAUUGUAGAGGAACUUGAUGGGAAAGAAGAGCUUGAGGUUCUGGACAACAUUUGCUCAGUUACUCUGGAUAGAAUGAAAGAGAAGCUGCUCAGUAAAUCUUUGCAUGCUGCAUUAAGGAUUGUGAUGAUCGGUAUAACCAAUCAUUUCCCUUCUUUCGAAGCCCUCAGUAUAGUGCAAAUAGAAAGUAUACUAAAGGAUAUAUCACAGAAUCUGCAGUUUGUUAAACAUGUCCAUACUCGCUUCCUAUUGCUUCCCAAUCUCCAAGAUGUUACGAGAACAGCUCAGCAUCCUUCUCUUGCUGAAUGGUCAAGCAACGGGAAGCACCGAAACAUUUAUUUUGCUGAUAAAUCCAUGGGUCAUAUUCUAAUCGCAGAGCCCCCGAGUUUUUUGACAGUACAUGAUGUUAUUGCAAUUGUCGUCAGUCACAGAUUAGGGGCACCGGUAAUCUUGCCAAUCGCUUCGGUAUUUGCAUGCCCAGAUGGUUCAGAGAAAGAAGUGCUUCAAAUACUCCAUCUUGGCACUGACGUUGGAGUUUCGAAACGCGAAGGAAGGUAUGACUGUUCCCUGGGAGGAGAGUUAUUGUCACAAGAUGCUCGCCAGGUCCAAUUCCUUCCGUUGAGACCAUUCUACAGCGGAGAGAUUGUGGCAUGGAAGACAGGAAAAGAGGGGGAAAAGCUCAGGUAUGGUAGGGUUCCUGAAGACGUAAGGCCAUCAGCUGGCCAAGCACUUUACAGGUUUCCGGUGGAGACAGCCCCCGGCGAGACUCGCAUGCUACUCUCCAGUCAGGUUUACUCGUUUAAGAGUGUUUCAACGGCUGACCUCUCUUCUGCACCUUCCCAAUCGGAUGUUGGUAGAGUGGCAGAAGUUGGACAACCGGGCCACUCGUCCGUCAGCUCUAGAACUGAAGGCACAGAUGAUACGGCUGCUGGGCUUGAAUAUGGCAAAGUAUCUUCGACGGAGCUGGUUCAAGCAGUCCAUGAUAUGCUUUCAGCUGCAGGGGUAAGGAUGGAUGCUGAGAAGGAAACACUGCUACAGACUACUCUUUCCUUGCAAGACCAGCUUAAAGAAUCUCAAGUGGCUCUCUUGGUGGAGCAGGAAAAAGCCGAGUCGGCGGUGAAAGAAGCCGACAUUGCCAAGGCGGCGUGGUCGUGCCGCGUCUGCCUGAACUCCGAGGUCAACAUGACCAUCGUACCGUGCGGCCACGUCCUGUGCAACAGGUGCUCGAGCUCGGUGUCUCGAUGCCCGUUUUGCCGGACCCAGGUGUCCAAAAUGAUGAAGAUUUUCAGGCCAUGA